rnacentral:lncRNA from 1 species
UAGGAAGAACAUUUGGCGCCCACCGUGGGGCUCGAUAAAACCUGAUCCCACCCACAUUCGUGAUUGAGCCUUUCGACGUGAUGAAAAACACAAGGCAAAGAUCGUUGGGAUCUGAAGGAAGCGAUGCCCCCGCCGUAGCAACUCAUGGAUGCCAUGAAGGCCCUCCAAGAGGCGAACGAGGAACACACACGAGAGCAAGAACGGAUCCAAGAGCGAAUCCAAGAAGAAGCUAAGGACGAGCAGAGCGACUACGAGUAGAAGCCCGAGCUGAGCUAGAGCUCUUGCAAGAUCGUCUGAUGGCAGAAAUCGAG